rnacentral:tRNA from 1 species
AUUUAAAUAGUUUAAUUAAAAUAUUAGAGUGUGGAUCUAAAGAUAUAAGAGUAGUAUUUUAAAUU